UCCCCUUGGAGCACCGAACGUCACUGCAGGUGGGUCUCCUGAUGGAACUCUUCGUCUGGACACACUGGGGCCAACCAUUGACCAUCUGGCACACGGUUCCCUUUUGGCAUUGGACAUCCUGGCAGGAGGGCUGGUUCUGCACACAGUGGGGCCACCCAUCUCUUAUCCUACACGACGUCCCUUUGGGACACUGCAUGUCCUUGCAAGAAGGCUGCUUUGGGACCACCUUGGGUUGAACACAUCGAGGCCAUCCAUCCUCCAUCUGACACACCGUCCCCUUGGAGCACCGAACAUCACUACAGGUGGGUCUCCUGAUAGAGGUCUUGAUUUGGACACAAUGAGGCCAUCCAUCCACUGUCUGACACUCCAUUCCCUUCUGACAUUGGAUAUCAUGACAGGAGGGCUGGUUCUGCACACAGUGGGGCCACCCAUCUCUGAUCUGACAUGAGGUCCCUUUGGGACACUGCAUGUCCUUGCAAGAAGGCUGCCUUGGGACCACCUUGGGUUGAACACACUGGGGCCAACCAUCCACCGUCUCACACACUGAACCUUUGGAACACCGUAGGUCACUACAGGUGGGUCUCCUGAUGGAAGUCUUGAUUUGGACACAAUGAGGCCAUCCAUCCACCAUCUGGCACACAGUUCCCUUCUGACACUGGACAUCCUGGCAGGAGGGCUGGUUCUGCACACAGUGGGGCCACCCAUCUCUGAUCCUACACGACGUCCCUUUGGGGCACUGAAUGUCCUUGCAAGAAGGCUGCUUUGGGACCACCUUGGGUUGCAAACAUUGAGGCCAUCCAUCCACCAUCUCACACACUGUCCCCUUGGAGCAGUGAACAUCACUGCAGGUGGGUCUCCUGAUGGAACUCUUCAUCUGGACACAAUGAGGCCAUCCAUCCACCAUCUGGCACACGGUUCCCUUCUGACACUGAACAUCCUGGCAGGAGGGCUGGUUCUGCACACAGUGGGGCCACCCAUCUGUCAUUCUGCAUGAGGUCCCUUUUGGGCACUGCAUGUCCCUGCAUGAAGGUUGCCUUGGGGCCACCUUGGGUUGAAGACACUGAGGCCAUCCAUCCACCAUCUGACACACCGUCCCCUUGGAGCACCGAACAUCACUACAGGUGGGUCUCCUGACAGAGGUCUUGAUUUGGACACACUGAAGCCAACCAUUCACCAUCUGGCACUCCGUUCCCUUCUGACAUUGGAUAUCAUGACAGGACGGCUGGUUCUGCACACAGUGGGGCCAUCCAUCUGUCAUCCUACAUGAGCUCCCUUUGGGACACUGCAUGUCCUUGCAAGAAAGCUGCUUUGGGACCACCUUGGGUUGAACACAUUGAGGCCAUCCAUCCACCAUCUCACACACUGUCCCUUUGGAGCACCGAACAUCACUGCAGGUGGGUCUCCUGAUGGAAGUCUUCGUCUGGACACAAUGAGGCCAUCCAUCCACCAUCUGGCACACGGUUCCCUUCUGACAUUGGACAUCCUGGCAGGACAGCUGGUUCUGCACACAGUGGGGCCACCCAUCUGUCAUCCUACAUGACGUCCCUUUGGGACACUGAAAGUCCUUGCAAGAAGGCUGCUUUGGGACCACCUUGGGUUGAACACAUCGAGGCCAUCCAUCCUCCAUCUGACACACCGUCCCCUUGGAGCACCGAACGUCACUACAGGUGGGUCUCCUGAUGGAAGUCUUGAUUUGGACACAAUGAGGCCAUCCAUCCACCAUCUGGCACUCGGUUCCCUUCUGACAUUGGACGUCCUGGCAGGAGGGCUGGUUCUGCACACAGUGGGGCCACCCAUCUGUCAUCCUACACGAGGCCCCCUUGGGACACUGCAUGUCCUUGCAAGAAGGCUGCCUUUGGGCCACCUUGAUUUGAACACACUGAGGCCAUCCAUCCACCAUCUCACACACUGAACCUUUGGAGCACCGAACGUCACUACAGGUGGGUCUCCUGAUGGAAGACUUUGUCUGGACACACUGAGGCCAACCAUUGACCAUCUGGCACACGGUUCCCUUCUGACAUUGGAUAUCAUGACAGGAGGGCUGGUUCUGCACACAGUGGGGCCAUCCAUCUGUC
ensembl:lncRNA